UACGUAGGGUGCAAGCGUUAUCCGGAAUUAUUGGGCGUAAAGAGCUCGUAGGCGGUCUGUCGCGUCUGCUGUGAAAACUCAGGGCUUAACCCUGAGCUUGCAGUGGGUACGGGCAGACUAGAGUGCGGUAGGGGAGACUGGAAUUCCUGGUGUAGAGGUGAAAUUCGUAGAUAUCAAGAGGAACACCAGUGGCGAAGGCGAGUCCCUGGACGAUACCUGACACUGAGGCACGAAAGCUAGGGGAGCAAACAGG
rnacentral:rRNA from 1 species